GAUUCAGUAGCUCAGUUGGUAGAGCAUCUCCCUUUUAAGGAGAGGGUCCAGGGUUCGAGCCCCUGCUGAAUCACAA
rnacentral:tRNA from 1 species